rnacentral:lncRNA from 1 species
AGACCAGCCCUCGGAGAUGGAGGUCCACAUCAUCCGCCUGUGGUCCUCAGGAUCCGGCCUGUGCGGCUCUCUGCAGGUAGAGGUGUCUGUCUCUCUGCUGCCUCCAGUGGCUUGUUCAGCGUAUCACAGGAUUGUCCUGAUCCUCAGCAGUGCGCUUCCGGUCAACUGGGCUCUGGUGGCUCCAGAGGUCAAAGGCCACGUCAGGGUCUAUGCAAGUUACAUUUGCAUUUCUAACCUGUGCGCUUUUCCAAAAACACUUUCUCAUCUAUGAACAGUUGCGUCUCUCUCGUUCAGUCGUCCAACAGCGUGAGUCCGCCAUACCGAACUCAAUCCCCCAGCCUCAGCAUGACCAGCACCCUGACUUCUGACCUCCUCAGCACCCCCGACCUUCUAGAAUGGGCCAAUCAGAACGGCUUUCCCAAAGUGACCUCGUACACUGAGGCUGAUCUGGCCAAUCGCUUCGUUGUCAGGUUAAGAGAAGGUGGAAAAGGAGGGUCAGACACAGAACUGAGGUCUUCAGAUGGACGGCAGGAUGACAUCAUGACAGAC